UACGGAGGAUCCAAGCGUUAUCCGGAAUCAUUGGGUUUAAAGGGUCCGUAGGCGGUUUUGUAAGUCAGUGGUGAAAGCCCAUCGCUCAACGGUGGAACGGCCAUUGAUACUGCAAGACUUGAAUUAUUGGGAAGUAACUAGAAUAUGUAGUGUAGCGGUGAAAUGCUUAGAGAUUACAUGGAAUACCAAUUGCGAAGGCAGGUUACUACCAAUAUAUUGACGCUGAUGGACGAAAGCGUGG
rnacentral:rRNA from 1 species